GGGAACCAGCACCGAGAGGGUAGUGACCUAUUCCCAUUAAAUAAUGUAAAGUUCCAAAGACGGGUCCUCUAUCUGCUGGCCGAUAUACGCGAAAAGCUGUCCCAGGUGGGCCAAAACUGUGAGCCCCCAGACUCUCAGUUCAACCUGGAGAAGAUGAACAGCAGGCGUGAGCUCAAAAAUUUGGAAGGGCAACUGGCUGAUGAAGGAAAGAAGAAUAUGAUGAUUGGGGGUGCAGACCUUGAGGACUGUGUGAAAAAUAUGAUGAAAAGAGUUCUUACCAACAGGAUGAUGGCCAUGAUGAACAUGGAUGGCACAAGAC